AUCAAUUAUGGAUAGAUCUUACAUGUAGGACAUAAAAGGAUACAAUGAAUCUUUAGAUUUGGUUCCAAUUGUCUACCUAUGAGUUCUAUAUGAAUUGACAAAGGUCUAGAGAUUCCUUUCUUAAAGAAAAGGAAGAUCACAUUAUAAUGAUAUAAGUAAUAAGAAAAACGUUUCUUAUAUGAUUAUCACUUAAACCACAAUAAUCAAGAUCACUCUUGAUUCAAUUAGUAGUUUGAACAACUAAUUGGGCAUUCUUUAAAUUGUUUUAAAAUGUCAAUUGUGUUAGUGAUUAAACCAAGAAAGAAGUGUCUAAAUCUAUAAAAUGUUUAAAUACUUUAGUCACUUAAUAACGAGACAUUAACUUAGUGAAGAUUGAAACAAAUGAGCUUGAAAGGUUUUAAAGCUACUACACAAUGUCCUCUACCCGUAUACUCCACGUUUAUACAUUUUGAAUGUAUGAAGUGAUUUCUCAUUAAAGUCAUGAGAAAUAGUGGGAGGUGUGAAAAUGGAUAUAAACUUAAAUAUGAUUGGUUUAUAGUUGUCUAAAGAAUAAUAGUACUUGACUAUUAUUAAGAG
rnacentral:lncRNA from 1 species